rnacentral:rRNA from 1 species
AUUCCAGCUCCAAUAGCGUAUAUUAAAGUUGUUGCAGUUAAAAAGCUCGUAGUUGGAUUUCUGUUCUUGGGGAGCGGUCCGCCGCAAGGUGAGCACUGCAGCUCUGGGGACAUCCUCUCGAAGGCGGGUGGUGCACUUAAUUGUGUGCUGCUUGGAUUCGGGACCUUUACUUUGAAAAAAUUAGAGUGUUCAAAGCAGGCGUCGGCUUGAAUACAUUAGCAUGGAAUAAUGGAAUAGGACUUUGGUUCUAUUUUGUUGGUUUCUAGGACCGAAGUAAUGAUUAAUAGGGACAGUUGGGGGCAUUAGUAUUUAAUUGUCAGAGGUGAAAUUCUUGGAUUUAUGAAAGACUAACUACUGCGAAAGCAUUUGCCAAGGAUGUUUUCAUCA